GAAUCCCACAGGCCGUAAACCCAAGGUUUCCAGGGGAAGGUUCGUCCGCCCUGGGUUAGUCGGGACCUAAGCUGAGGCCGAAAGGCGUAGGUGAUGGACAACAGGUUGAUAUUCCUGUACUACCGAUAACCGUUUGAGAGAAGGGAUGACACAGUAGGAUAAGCUAAGCACACUGUUGGUUAUGUGUGCCCAAGCAUUGAGGCAGUCAAAGUAGGCAAAUCCGCUUUGAUAAUGCUGGGAUGUGAUGGGGAGCGAAAUUUAGUAGCGAAGUAGCUGAUUUCACACUGUCAAGAAAAGUCUCUAUCGAGGUUAAAGGUACCCGUACCGCAAACCGACACAGGUGGGUGAGGAGAGUAUCCUAAGGCCAGCGAGAGAACUGUUGUUAAGGAACUCGGCAAAAUGACCCCGUAACUUAGGGAUAAGGGGUGCCACCAUCAGGUGGCCGCAGAGAAUAGGCCCAAGCGACUGUUUACCAAAAACAUAGGUUUCUGCUAAGUCGCAAGACGAUGUAUAGGAGCUGACGCCUGCCCGGUGCUGGAA
rnacentral:rRNA from 1 species